GGACCAUAGCUCGGUGGUAGACCAUCUGCUUUCUAUGCAGAAGGUCCUAGCUUCAAUCGCUGGGAUCUCCA